UGGGGAAUAUUGCACAAUGGGCGCAAGCCUGAUGCAGCCAUGCCGCGUGUAUGAAGAAGGCCUUCGGGUUGUAAAGUACUUUCAGCGGGGAGGAAGGCGAUAAGGUUAAUAACCUUGUCGAUUGACGUUACCCGCAGAAGAAGCACCGGCUAACUCCGUGCCAGGCAGCCGCGGUAAUACGGAAGGGUGCAAGCGUUAAAUCGGAAUUACUGGGCGUAAAGCGCACGCAGGCGGUCUGUCAAGUCGGAUGUGAAAUCCCCGGGCUCAACCUGGGAACUGCAUUC
rnacentral:rRNA from 1 species